CCAAUUUCAGUGGACCGCUCUAAAUUCACUUACUUCUAAAUCCUCCUUCUUAAGGACAUUUCAGUCCCUGAUUCGUAGUUCCCUAUAAGGGAAUGUAGCCCAUUUGGSGCCCUUUCAUUGGCUACGCCUCGACCUGACGUUUUAAGGGAUAUUAAAUUUGGSCUAAUAUUUAACUUUUGAAGGUAGACUGAAGACGGCGGUAUAUAGGCUGGAUGCGAGAAAGGGUAAGGUUUAACGUGGAUUAUCGGUUGUGAAACAGGCUCCUCUAGAGGGAAUAAAGCACCGCCAGGUCUUUUGGUU
rnacentral:rRNA from 1 species